rnacentral:rRNA from 1 species
CCUACGGGAGGCAGCAGUGGGGAAUAUUGGGCAAUGGGCGCAAGCCUGACCCAGCCACGCCGCGUGAGGGAAGAAGGCCCUCCGGUUGUAAAAUUCUUUUCUCAGGGACGAAGAAAGUGACGGUACCUGAGGAAUAAGCAACGGCUAACUACGUGCCAGCAGCCGCCGUCAUACGUAGGUAGCAGGCGUUAUCCGGAUUUAUUGGGUGUAACGGGCGUGUAGGCGGGAGCGCAAGUCAGAUGGGAAAACUCAGGGCUCAACCCUGAGCCUGCAUUUGAAACUGUGUUUCUUGAGUGCGGGAGAGGCAAUCGGAAUUCGGGGUGUAGCGGUGAAAUGCGUAGAUAUACGGAGGAACACCAGUGGCGAAGGCGGAUUGCUGGACAGUAACUGACGCUGAGGCGCGAAAGCGUGGGGAGCAAACAGGAUUAGAUACCCGAGUAGUC